rnacentral:rRNA from 1 species
UACGGGGGGUGCAAGCGUUAAUCGGAAUUACUGGGCGUAAAGCGCCCGCAGGCGGUUUGUUAAGUCAGAUGUGAAAUCCCCGGGCUCAACCUGGGAACUGCAUUUGAAACUGGCAAGCUAGAGUCUCGUAGAGGCGGGUAGAAUUCCAGGUGUAGCGGUGAAAUGCGUAGAGAUCUGGAGGAAUACCGGUGGCGAAGGCGGCCCCCUGGACCAAGACUGACGCUCAGGGGCGAAAGCGUGGGGAGCAAACAGG